rnacentral:rRNA from 1 species
GACGUAGGGCGCGAGCGUUGUCCGGAUUUAUUGGGCGUAAAGGGCGCGUAGGCGGCGUGGUAAGUCAGCUGUGAAAUCUCCGAGCUUAACUCGGAACGGUCAGCUGAUACUGCUGUGCUAGAGUACAGAAGGGGCAAUCGGAAUUCUUGGUGUAGCGGUGAAAUGCGUAGAUAUCAAGAGGAACACCUGAGGCGAAGGCGGGUUGCUAGGCUGAUACUGACGCUGAGGCGCGAAAGCUAGGGUAGCAAACGGG